ACGCUCGACACCUACGUGAGGCAGCAGUGGGGAAUAUUGCACAAUGGGGGAAACCCUGAUGCAGCGACGCCGCGUGAGUGAAGAAGUAAUUCGUUAUGUAAAGCUCUAUCAGCAGGGAAGAAAGUGACGGUACCUGAGUAAGAAGCCCCGGCUAACUACGUGCCAACAGCCGCGGUAAUCUGAGCGGGCGUGGCAAGGC
rnacentral:rRNA from 1 species